rnacentral:lncRNA from 1 species
GAAACAACAGAACCCUAUCUUUUCUCCAUCUCUUUGCCGUCAUUUUCAUUAUCACUCCACAUCUCUUCAUCUCCUCCUUCCUCUUCUUCAAUUCGUGGAUUCUCGCCGGCCUCACCUCCUUCAAUUCGUGAGUUUCAUCUCUUUGCCGUCAUUAUCGUUAUUAUUCCACAUCUCCUCCUUCCUCUUCUUCAAUUCGUGGAUUCUCUCUACAAUUUGGGUAUUCUGGGUUAUGCUUCUUCUCUAAAGAUAAUCUAUCAAACAGAACUCUAUUCCUCUGAUUCCUCCAUAGCUGCACAAAAAGGAGUAAGGAGAAUUCUUGUACAUCUCAACAUUGGAUAAUUCGAUCCUCAUCGAACUUCUCCUCCUUCUCUCUCUGCUAUCACUAAAAGAUGUAGGAACAGGAUCUAGUUGAAUGGGCCAAACCAUACCUUGCCAGCAAAUACCUCACAGAACAAAGCAUAAGGGAUGAUUUGGAAUCACUUGGUUAUGUGGUUAUGUAUUUCCUAAGAGGAAGGUAAAACUUUCCAGGUGAUGACAAACCAAGAAGUUGUGGAUGCCAUAAAAAAUAUAAAGGAUUCUCGGGCAGCAGCAAAGCACCUUACUGAAGAGCCAGUCAAUAAGAAGAGCUCGGACGAUAUUUCCUGUGUAGUUGUAAGAUUUCGGUGAAUGUAUAAUUUCUGUCUGGCAUGUUUGUUGUCUGAUUGUACCUCGUUUAACAAUGUCUCAGAUAUGUUUUUAUAAAACACCUAUGGAAUUGAAGUGUGCUUCAUCAGUGUGGUAUUCCCUUACAUGUUGUACACUGACAAUCAAGAGGUUUUUAUUUUGCAAUAGUUUGCCCAAACUUAACCAUAAAAACUGAU